CACUAACUUCUGAAUAACUUCAACUUCUGUGUGCCUUUAUUUACAUGGUAUUCACGUAUGCGUAAAAGAAGAGAUCGAAGAACGCUGAUUGGUUGAAUGAAACAUCGGUUCUUGAUCACUAACUAAUGAAUAUCAUUUCUGAUGAUCAGGUUGGUGUCCAUGCCGCCCCCAGUACAGUGCGCGAAAAAUUGAAAACAAUUAUCAGAGUACAAGAGCAUAAGAGCAGAAUAUCAUUCUUAUUACAGAAGCCGCAGAGUUGGAUGACAUAGUGUACAAUUUUAUAAUUCGAAGAGAGAGUGAGGAAGGGACGGAAAGAGGGAGGGAGGGAGGGAGGGAGGGAGGGAGGGAGGGAGGGAGGGAGGGAGGGAGGGAG